CUAUUUAAUCUAUUUUCAUUAUAAUGGUUGUCUAACAGGGCACAAUAUCCAAAUCCAAUAUCAUCCCUCUGGUCUAACCCAUUCCCAAAACCAAACUUGAAACCAUCUGCGACUUGGAUUCUCUCUCUAGUCUCUGAGUCUCUCGCCUCGAGCUCUCGACGCCUUCUAUCGGUGAUUCAGCAGAAGAAGAAGGUGAAGAAGCUAGAAGGUCUCUCGUUUCUCGGCCUCUUUCUCAAGGUCUUUCGCCUUCACUGCCUUCAGUUACUUUUAAGGGCAAGUACGGAGUAUUCUUUUCUUUUUAUUUGUUAUUUUGAUUUGUUUAAUGUUUGAAUAUUGUGAUUUUGCUUUUAAUCGAGUGCGUGCCAGAUGCUUGUUAUUAUGUGUGUUUGAGUAAUUUGAAUGUAUUAUGUAAUAAUGCUGCUUUCUAUUAACUUGUUAG
rnacentral:lncRNA from 1 species